GCCCGGGUGGUGAAAUUGGUAGACACAAGAGACUUAAAAUCUCUCGCUCUUUGAGUGUACGGGUUCGAUUCCCGUCCCGGGCACCA
rnacentral:tRNA from 6 species